GUGGAGGCAUCACAAAUUACUAUUCACAUUACAUUGUGGUAAACUGGUAAUUCUGGUUCCAGGAUUGGAUAGUCUUCAUCUCAAACUGCAGCAACAGAAUAUGCAACUUGUGAUACAUGAUUAUCUUCAAAUGUCCUUUCUAUAUUCUUUGGGGGGGGGGGGUAUCUAGGUUUAUUUUGUCCGCAAGUAUGUGUUAUUUGUUUCAUUCAGGCAGCUUUGCUGUUGGUUUUUUUUAUUUCCUCUUUCCAGGAAGGGUAAAAGAGCACACAACUAGUUCAAUGAAGCUUUAAUAAAUAAUACUUGUUAUCUUCAAAAUGUAAACUUAUUUGUUGUAGAAUGUGUAAAGAAUCCUAGUGACAGUUCAAAAUGUAAACUUAUUUAGAAUUUCUUUUUGGAACCUGAUCUUUGGCAUUUGAGAAUUUCUUUUUGGUACCUGUUUCAGGACUUGUUUGGGCUGGUUUGCUUCUGAGCCUGAAUGGUAUGACAUGAACAAUGUGAAUUUUGCACAAAGUGAGGCUCAGUCUGUCUCUCUAUUUGUUCACUAACACUCACAAUGUGAAGUAGACACGUACUUGAUCAAAAGUACCAGUCACAAAAAAGAAGCAAGCAAUGUUUUUUAAGGUUGCAAGAGAAUCUAACCGCUCACUUAGUUCAGCUACGAAAAAGUAAAGACAAGUUUCACAGAUCUAUAUAGGACUAGUCACUUAAACCUCCUUCACCCGAAAAUUCCCAAAAUUGCAUCCUAAGCUAAAACCCCACCGAACAAACAAAGAGGAGAAAAUAAGAAAUGAAUCACACAAUUAAAAAAGCUUGAGUUUAAUUAUUGACUAAUUAUUGACUUAAACUAAUUAUUGACUUAAACCAAUCACCAGAACCCAUUCCUGAUAUCAGCUGAGUUUAACCAAUUUAUCAUGAACCUGAUAGCAUUAUCAAUACAACCAACAUUAGCAUUCUGCAUAAGUUCCCAAAGCUAAAAUGUUUUUACAGACUAAUAAGCGCAUAAAUUAUAUUGUUAAGCAAUUUUUCUUUCCUUUUCUGAUCUAUCAAACAGAUGCUAAGCAAUAAAAUUUUUAACCAAAUGAACCACGAAUCAUAAAUAAUAAAAUAAUUGGAAAGAGAUUACAAUUUCUAUCAGAAGCAACUCAAUUGCAGAGCUGAAAAUUUUAAUAUCAGCAUAUAAUUAGACUUCAACCAAUUGAAAAUGGAAACUAACUACCGAUUUGUGAAAUACAGCCAUCUUUGACCAUUCCAUUCUCUUACACCAAUCCCAAUUCUACCUUUUUCCCUCAAACAACAAAAGAGAAAUUCUCUCUCUCUCAAAAAAAACAAAACAAAACAAAACAAAACAAAAGGGUACUCCAGAAGAAAUUCGCUCUAUCAAAUAAUGAAAUAUAGAACACAUCAAAAGCAAUUGAACUGCAAUACCCAGAAGAAAAAUUUUGCAUAUCAAACAAGAAACUGUAUUUCAAUACUAAAUUCCUUAUAUUGCAGACCAAUCAGAUAGAUUGAAACUACUUCACUAAUCAUUAUAGCACCCAGAUCUUCCCAAUAUCUCUUACUAAAAUCAGACUACUGAGUCCAACAAUGAAGUGAAGAACACGUAAAAUUUAGAAAUCCACUCAAUUAUAUCAAGGGGACCAAAAAAGAAAACGAAAGAAGAAGAAAAGAAAAUCUGGGUAAGUAAGACAUACCAGAGAAAGAGUAGCAAAAGGUCGAGUAGGAUCUUUUCAAGAAAUGGGCACUCAAAAUCGUGGAAAAACAAAAGGUGUCGACAACAGUAGUUGAAGUGAAGGAAAAGAAAAGCCUGAAAAAAACAAAUAAACGAAAAGAAUAAAAGGUGGGUGUGAAAAUAUGGAUUGCCAUGGCCCCAUCACCAACCUUCUACCCUUCCAAAUACACUACACAACAAAUAUCAAAGGUAUAAAAUUAUUAAAUAUGUAUCAUAAAAAUUAAUCAAAGAAUUUUCUUUUUUUUAUUUUUUCCCUUCAAUCAAGACCUCAACCACCAGGAAAGCCAGCAAAGGGAUUGUGAUAUAAAUGAUAAAUUAGAAAAUCAAACCCACAACCAAGAAAUUAAAAAGCUGAACCUCAUUACAAAAAAUUUAAGGUUCAUCGAUUGUAGGCAAAAAAGAGACAGAUAGGGUAACCAGACUCUCCUCUCACACAGGCUACCUUUCCUUCUUCACUUAUUUUUCCUUUGAAUUAGUUCUAAGUUCUAACAAUGGUCUAAUCUUUGCAAGCCAAAAAAUAAAAAAGCAAGGAAUUUGCUGAUAUAGAUGCUAAAAAAAUUAUUUUAUUUAAAAACAAAAGUAUAAACGCUAAGGAAGUAAAAUAUAAAAAGCAAAAUUUCCUCUCAAAACAGAAAGAAAAACACAGAUACAUGUAAUGAACAAUCACCCAGAAAAGGGAAGGGAAAAUAAAAUUUACUGUACCAGUAACACCCAAUAAUUUUAACAAUAAUUAGAAUAAAACUCAGAAAAAUAAAUAAACAAAAACAAGAUAACCAGAUCAACGAGUAGUAAAAGAUCUGGGUUGGAGGCAAAAUCCUCAUUGAUUUUUACUCCCAAAAAGAGGGGGGAGGGGGGGAUAGCAAACCAGCCCAAAAAGAAACAAACCCGUGACAAAGAUCUUCCUCCAUGUGAUCAAACACGCUCAUUAUAUCCAAACAAAAGAAGUUUAUGCAUAAAAAAAAAGUUAAUAUAUAGAGCAAGAACACUAACACAGAGAAGCAGACACGUACUUGAUCAAAAGUACCAGUCACAGAAAAGAAGCAAGCAAUGUUUUUUAAGGUUGCAAGAGAAUCUAACCGCUCACUUAGUUCAGCUACGAAAAAGCAAAGACAAGUUUCACAGAUCUAUAUAGGACUAGUCACUUAAACCUCCUUCACCCGAAAAUUCCCAAAAUUGCAUCCUAAGCUAAAACCCCACCGAACAAACAAAGAGGGGAAAAAUAAGAAAUGAAUCACACAAUUAAAAAAGCUUGAAAUAAAUAAACAAAUGAAAAUUGAGGAGAAGCCAUAAACAGAUAAUAGAGGAGAAACUGAACAAAGCGAAGACAGAGACAAAAACUGAGCAAACCUGAAGAGAGUUCCAGUCAAAGGAAAUGUCGCCGGUGCCGACUGGGGAGAGAGAAGGAGAUGUCGCCGAUGCCAACCGGGGAGAGGGAAGAGUUGUCUUCGACUGGGAAGUGGGAGAUGUCACCACUGGAGAGAGAGAAGGAGAUAUCGGCAGAGAGAAGAUUUAUCGUCGACUGGGUAGAGAUAGGAGAUGUCGCCAGUGCCGACUGGGCUGCCGGCACUCUUCAGUGAAGUGGGGGGAGAGAGGCGUUGACUGGGACUUAUGGGAAGGGAAUCGGGGGAGAGAGGUGCCGACAGAGAGAGGGAAGUGUGACUCUAGCAAAAUGGAAAAAUAAAUGAGGGGAUUAGGGUUAGUUUUGUUAGUAUAGCUAAUUAGGGAUUAGGG
rnacentral:lncRNA from 1 species